rnacentral:tRNA from 2 species
GGGGAAUUAGCUCAGCUGGAACGAGCACCUGCCUUGCACGCAGGGGGUCAUCGGUUCGAACCCGAUAUUCUCCA